rnacentral:lncRNA from 1 species
AUAAGUAAAAAUCAAGAAGCAGAGGAGAAAAAAAAAAAGAGUAAAAAGCAAGCAGCAGCAGAAAGAAACUAUUGUGCGCUGACCACAACCUCCUGUACUGCCUGUUGCCUCACCAAAGGGCUAGGCCUAAACUGAGUGUAAUGUGCUGAAAAAGCAAGGGGAGUUGAGGUUAGGAAAGGGCAAGAACGUAUACUGGACUGAAGAUAAACCUGGCAAGGGAGGAGUAAAUGUUUUCUCUAGCUGUUUUAUUUGUCUAUUUUGUUUUUGGUACCUGAAUCCAUAAAUAAAAAAAUACAUUAGUUAGCAAUAAAUAAAGCGAACUUCCUGGAAUCAAGACUUUUGCCCCUGGUGACUGAUACACUCAUUCAUCAGAUUAUUUGAACCAAAAUAUUUUUUAUCUGAGGGUUGGAUGAAAUUCAUACUGUACUCAAACUGAUUUACUUAUUCUUGGACCUAUGCAAAGGCCACUUUUUUUGUUCAACUAUUAGUUGAUCCCUCAUGUAAUUCCACUUGCCAUGUUCAGUUUAUUCCCACUCACUGCCACCAGUAACUUAAUAUACUGCUGUGUUUUGUUCAGCUUAUGUAAGUGAAUAUAUGUGGGAUAUACGGAUGUCCUUUACUACGAUGGGCCUCUUAAACAACCUCCAAAGAGAAGGUGAAUGUUUGAGAGCGAAAGAGACUAUGAGGCCAGUAAAAUCAAUGAACUCUUUAUUUUAUUUAAUUUGCAGAAUGACCCCCAUCUGUUACUCCAACAAAUGAAAAGCCAAUACAGACAUACAGAAACACAACAGAAUUUCCAUGGGAACUGCAGUGAAGUACAUGAUGGCAGAACUUUAUCAGACUAAUAAGAACAUGACCCUAUCAUGGUAAUUCAAGUCUAAGUUCUGCAUGAUCUGGACAAGUCUGAAGAACAUUCUGGAAUGAGUUGGAUCUCUUCAGUAUAAAACUUCUUGUAAAGUAUAAGGAGUAUAAACUUCUUAUAUCACUCAGAAUUAUCUAAGCAUAUCCAUUUCAUCUAGGGAAAUUUUU